GACGAACGCUGGCGGCGUGCCUAAUACAUGCAAGUAGAACGCAGUUUCGAACGGGUGAGUAACGCGUAUGUAACUGCCUCAUAGCGGGGGAUUACUUUUUGAAACGAUAGCUAAUACCCCAUUCUGUGAGCUGGACCUGCGUUGUAUUAGCUAGUUGGUGAGGUAAAGGCCCACCAAGGCGACGAUACCUAGCCGACCUGGGAGGGAGAUCGGCCACACUGGGACUGAGAAACGGCCCAGAACCCUACGGGAGGCAGCAGGAGGGAAUGUUCGGAAAUGGACGGAAGUCUGAACGAGAAAAGGCGCGUGAGUGAAGAAGGUGUUCGGAUCGUAAAGCUCUGUUGUUAGAGAAGCGGUAACUAAACAGAAAGGGACGGCUAACUCCGUGCCAGCAGCCGCGGUAAUUC
rnacentral:rRNA from 1 species